CAAGGAAUAGUUUAAUAAGAAUACCAGCUUUGGGUGCUGGUGGAGGGGCUGGGGCCUCUUCCUUGA
rnacentral:tRNA from 1 species